GUGGGGAAUAUUGGUCAAUGGGCGGGAGCCUGAACCAGCCAAGUCGCGUGAAGGAAGAAGGAUCUAUGGUUCGUAAACUUCUUUUGCAGGGGAAUAAAGUGCAGGACGUGUCCUGUUUUGUAUGUACCCUGAGAAUAAGGAUCGGCUAACUCCGUGCCAGCAGCCGCGGUAAUACGGAGGAUCCGAGCGUUAUCCGGAUUUAUUGGGUUUAAAGGGUGCGUAGGUGGUUUGAUAAGUCAGCGGUGAAAGUUUGCAGCUUAACUGUAAAAAUGCCGUUGAAACUGUCGGACUUGAGUGUAAAUGAGGUAGGCGGAAUGCGUGGUGUAGCGGUGAAAUGCAUAGAUAUCGCGCAGAACUCCGAUUGCGAAGGCAGCUUACUAAGCUACAACUGACACUGAAGCACGAAAGCGUGGGGAUCAAACAGGAUUAGAUACCCCGGUAGUCC
rnacentral:rRNA from 1 species